rnacentral:lncRNA from 1 species
CUUUGCUCCAAAAUCGGAGUGGGCACCGGGAGCCGGGAGAGGCCAGGCAGUAGGAGCAGGCACUUCAGAGCCUGCAGGGGAAGGGGGCUUCCCGGGCCCCCUAGCGCAGGCAUGUCCAGGUCUGUAGCUGAGACUAGUUGGCUGCAGCUGGGAGGGCUGGCCUCCCGACCCUCCAAUUCAGAAAAGGGCGGGGAUCCCUCCUGUUCCUGGCUCCAGGUGGCUCUGUGGAGCCCCUGCGCGCCUCCCCCACUGCAACCUGCGUCAUGGCAGCAGCUGCUCUAGAUAGGCCACAGCUGCCAUCAAAAGCAUAGCGCUUUCUCUGGCUGGUAGCGAAGGAAAAAGAGAUUAAAAGCACGAGAAAGACUCAACCCACUGACCCACCGUUGCUGGCUUGAUGGUAAAGAGGACAAUGUGGGGAAAGCAUUCGAAGAAAAUCACUUCUGCCAACAAUCAGUGAGUUUGGAGGUGGACCCCGAGACUUAGCUGACAGCCCCAGCAGAUAUAAUACGCUGAUUCAAGUUUAAUGAGACCCUGAGAAGAGAAUCCAGUCAAGGUGCUUUAGACUUCAGACUUUCAGAAGUUCAGACCUUCAGAACUGUGAGAUUAUAAACAGGUGCUGCAAAGGGAAAUUAUGUCUAGCAUAAGACACAAUCUCUGACAUUGAAGAACUUACAAUUGAAUUGAGGAAAUAACAUAUCUCCGGACAACUUAACAAGACCAGCAAGGUAGUUCCUCUACAAGCCUGGAGGAUCCACAGCAUAACUGGUUUUGCAGUGCCUCCUAAAACAGAAAUGGCUGCAGUGACCAAAGACUUAGAUCACAACACCCAAAUCCCUGUGAAUACAUGGAAAAGCCUACCCAAGA